rnacentral:rRNA from 1 species
AAACCCUUAUUAACUAUUGGAUGACUCCAUAAUUUAUGGAAGCCUCUAUGCUUGAACUAGUAACAAGAAUUUGACUUUCUCCUAAAUAUUAAUGUAAGCCGCAACAGACAAACUAACGGCAAUCAACGCUAAUAAACCAACUACAACAACCCCCAAGAAAAACUUGUAAAAUACAACGUUACCCUUACACAAGCAUAUUCCAGGAAAGAUUAAAAGAAAGAGAAGGAACUCGGCAAACUUCAACCCCGCCUGUUUACCAAAAACAUCGCCUCUUGCUUAAACAUAAGAGGUCCAGCCUGCCCAGUGAACAUUAAACGGCCGCGGUACCCUAACCGUGCUAAGGUAGCACAAUUACUUGUCCUUUAAAUGGGGACUAGAAUGAAAGGCAUCACGAGGGUUAUACUGUCUCCUCUUUUUAAUCAGUGAAACUGACCUCCCCGUGAAAAGGCGGGAAUUAAAAUAUUAGACGAGAAGACCCCAUGGAGCUUUAGAUACCAAGUAAGUCUCAGCCCCACCCACCAUAGCUUAUGACUAUUACCUUUAAGUCUUCGGUUGGGGCAACCAUGGAGUAAAAAUUAACCUCCACACCGAAUGGACACUCCUUAUUCAAGAACCACCAAUCUAAAAAACAGAAUACUGACGCCAACUGAUCCGGAAUCCGAUCAAUGAACCAAGUUACCCUGGGGAUAACAGCGCUAUCUACCUUGAGAGCCCCUAUCGACAGGUAGGUUUACGACCUCGAUGUUGGAUCAGGGUAUCCUAGUGGUGCAGCCGCUACAUA